UGAUGGAAAUCAUGGAAAAAGGUCAAACUCCUGGUGUCUCCACAGGACGGUUCAGAUUUAUGAGCUCCAGCAGCUGCUGCCAUCGUAUUUUAGCUUUGAAUUCACUGUGACCUCAGAUAAAAAAAUAUGAAACAAUGAAUUAAAAGUUCUAGAUCAGUAACAACGUUGUCAUCAUCUUGUCAGCCCACGUGGGCCACAUCAGACGCCGCUCCUGUCCAGCCUGAGGCCCGGAGACAUCCUACCUCUGAGCUUCACGUAGAUCAUCAUUCCUGCCAGAGCCAGGAGCAGCCCGCCGAUCACCAGACCCAGGAUCCACCAGUGGGUGGGCUUCUCUGAUGUGCUGCGCUCACCUGUGCACAGGGUUAUCGAUGAUGACGUCGCUGCGUUCGGUGUGUGUGCUGAACGCAGCCAGGAACCUGCAGAUGUAGCUGCCCGUGUGCUCUGAGUGUCUGGGGUCCAUCAGCCUCAGGGACCCGUCGCCAAACGACACCCUGAAGCCGUCCAAUUCCACGUGUCCCUCCCACCGAGGUGUGGACGAGCUGCGUCCAGACUGACCGUCGUACGUAAGGAUGUGCGAAGGGCUGUCUUCACCGUUGGAGAAGCUCCACUCCAGAGAUGGGCUGUUCAGGUCAGAAACUACGGCUGUGGACACCUCUUUCUCUGAGUGAUGUGGUCCACGUGGGUCCCCCGUAUGGGCUGCUGACCCUGCAGAUGUAGAGCAGCUCUGGAUUCCCCUUCAGCAGCCUGAGCCGGCUGUCCACGGU